AUUGAACGCUGGCGGCAUGCCUUACACAUGCAAGUCGAACGGCAGCACGGGUGCUUGCACCUGGUGGCGAGUGGCGAACGGGUGAGUAAUACAUCGGAACGUACCUUAUCGGGGGUGAUAAGGCAGCGAAAGCUGGGCUAAUACCGCAUACGCCCUGAGGGGGAAAGCGGGUGAUCGCAAGACCUCGGGCGAUUAGAGCGGCCGAUGCGGGAUUAGCGAGUUGGUGGGGUAAAAGCCCACCAAGGCGACGAUCAGUAGCUGGUCUGAGAGGACGAUCAGCCACACUGGGACUGAGACACGGCCCAGACUCCUACGGGAGGCAGCAGUGGGGAAUUUUGGACAAUGGGGGCAACCCUGAUCCAGCAAUGCCGCGUGAGUGAAGAAGGCCUUCGGGUUGUAAAGCUCUUUUGUCAGGGAAGAAACACCGGCUCUAACACAGUCCGGGAAUGACGGUACCUGAAGAAUAAGCACCGGCUAACUACGUGCCAGCCGCCGCCGUAA
rnacentral:rRNA from 1 species